GGAGGGGACAGGUGAGUUACCAACCAGGUGAAGGGGGCAGGGUCUCAAGGGAGGAUGACACUUAGACAGGCCAAUGACCCCCAGGCCUGAGGAGCAUCCUUUGAAAUCGACGAAUCACACGACGCCUUGCUGGUAUGUUAGCCUGAUUGACAGGGCACACUCGGCGAGGGGGCAGGGAGAGAGGCAUAGGCACACCUGGGAAGGGACUCGGAAGUUUAAAACAGGACAUUGCAACACACCACAACAGAGGUGGAGGCCGGGCAUGAAGCCCAGGUGAGGAGAGAGGCCAGGGUGGCUGCCAGUGAGGCAACAAGGGCCACCAUGGUGAGACAGCGGGUGGAGGUGGCCCUGGGUCUGCUGGAGCGCUUGGUGGCCGCAUGUGACAAAGCCACCGCGUUCCCCUGGGAGCUGCGGCGCCUGCUCAGGGACAUCGAGACCACCAUGAAGGGGACAAAUGAGGCAUUCCCCAAAGUCCCUGAGGACUUGGUGGCUAAGGUGGCCGUGGCUGAGCGGCUGUGGGAGGACAAGGCCCACCUGGUCAAGGAUCACCUGGUAGGGACAGUUCGAGACAUCAUCAAGUUGUAUAUCGAUAGUGGUCCUGCCCACCUCAGUGCCCACCCCAGCCAUGGGGUGGCUGAGCAGUGCCAAAGAGCCAUUGAGGACAUCCCAAGGCUCCUUCAAUCCCCAGAGUGUCCCCAAGGUGUCCCCAAUGUCUCCCCAGUGAGCAUGGAGCUCCAAGAGCUGUCCCCGGCCCUGCUGCAGCCAGAGGUCACUGUUGUGGCCAUCCUGGGUGAGCUGCUGGUUACCCUGCCCAGGCAGGACGAGGAGAUGAAUCUGCUCGUGUUCCCAGGGUGCCUGUACGGGGACCAGGAGGUUUUCACCAGCAACCUCUGGGACACCCUGUACAGCACUGAUGACACCUGGAGGCGCCGCAAUGUCACAUCAGAUGAUGAUGACCCUGUCACCUCCUUGAGCCAGGCCCUGGCUGCCUACAAGAGCACCCCAGGGAUCCCCCGGAACCGUGU
rnacentral:lncRNA from 1 species